GAACGCUAGCGGCAGGCCUAAUACAUGCAAGUCGAACGGUAACAUUGGUGCUUGCACCAGAUGACGAGUGGCGCACGGGUGCGUAACGCGUAUGCAAUCUACCUUUUACUAGAGUAUAGCCCAGAGAAAUUUGGAUUAAUCCUCUAUAAUAUCUUUUAAUUUCAUGAUUUUAAGAUUAAAGUUUUAACGGUAAAAGAUGAGCAUGCGUCCUAUUAGUUUGUAGGUGAGGUAACGGCUCACCUAGACUACGAUAGGUAGGGGCCCUGAGAGGGGGAUCCCCCACACUGGUACUGAGACACGGACCAGACUCCUACGGGAGGCAGCAGUAAGGAAUAUUGGACAAUGGACGAAAGUCUGAUCCAGCCAUGCCGCGUGCAGGAUGAAAGCCCUACGGGUUGUAAACUGCUUUUAUACAGGAAGAAACACUCCGACGUGUCGGAGCUUGACGGUACUGUAAGAAUAAGGAUCGG
rnacentral:rRNA from 1 species